AACAAACCUUCGCUCUUAGGCCUUAGCAAACCAUUAGAGAACUGGAGAUCCAGAAGAUAGAGAAUGGCAAAUGAGUGUGCAGGUAAGAAAGCAUGGCCGGAGCUCCUGUGGGGAAAUGGGGACUCUGCGGCGGCUACCAUAGAGAAAGAGAACAAAAAAGUGGAUGCAAUCGUGCUCAAGGAGGGAACAUCAGUGACUAAGGACUUCAGAUGCAACAGAGUCUGGGUUUGGAUGGAUGAUAAUGGUCACUCGAGUUCCUUACCAUUGGCUAAACAAUAGAUCAUAUGAUCAAUUAUCCUAAAUAAACGGUGUUUGCUGUUAAUCACUAUAUGAAUAAAAACUUAUGAAAGUCUGGGCUCAUCUAUGUUUUGCAAUUGAAAGUUAAUUUGAUUAUAAUUCCAAUUAAUUAGAUAAAUAUUGA
rnacentral:misc_RNA from 1 species